CCCGUUUUAUAUAUAUAUAUAUAUAUAUAUAUAUGCCAGUGUGUACGCACCUCAUACACGCCAAGCAUACCUUGCGUCUAUUCGUAGUUUUAGAUGGUGCAACAGGUGUAAAUAUUCAUCAGAAAACUGGACGUAACUAACCCUGUAAAGCCCACUGUUGCAGAAUUACAACAUCACUUUCAACAAUUUUUAAAAAAGGCCUGCAAGACCACAUUUGCCCUGCCUUUCUCAAGACCACAUUUACAUAGUUAAUGGGUUCUAUUGUUUGUCCUCACAAUGCUAUUGGAUAGAAGAAGUGUUUAUAGGUCCGGUCAUCUGACCAUGAACUUACUCUACCUGCAGACUUCGCGUCAAGCUCAUCUCCUUUUUUUGCAUGACUGGAUGUCGUCAAGAUUCAAAAUGCCAAGAUGUCAUCGGACCACCCCCCACUGGUUGUACGCAAAGACAUGAUUGCACAUUUCCCAGUAAAGACGAAGAGAGGACGCUGCAGACACUGCAAUAAUGGAUACACAAAUACACUGUGUAGCAAGUGCAAUGUUCGCCUGUGCUUCUCAGAUGAACAGAACUGUCUUAGGGACUAUCACUGCAAAACACAGACUUCAUUCAAACCACAUUGAAAGUGAUAGAAGAAAAAGUUUUAUAAUUACAAAUUUUUUCAAUAUUUUUAUUAAUAAAUGCUUAUUCAUUAAAAA